rnacentral:rRNA from 1 species
AUUGAACGCUGGCGGCAUGCCUUACACAUGCAAGUCGAACGGUAACAGAUCUUCGGAUGCUGACGAGUGGCGAACGGGUGAGUAAUACAUCGGAACGUGCCUAGUAGUGGGGGAUAACUACUCGAAAGAGUGGCUAAUACCGCAUGAGAUCUACGGAUGAAAGCAGGGGAUCGCAAGACCUUGUGCUACUAGAGCGGCCGAUGGCAGAUUAGGUAGUUGGUGGGAUAAAAGCUUACCAAGCCGACGAUCUGUAGCUGGUCUGAGAGGACGAUCAGCCACACUGGGACUGAGACACGGCCCAGACUCCUACGGGAGGCAGCAGUGGGGAAUUUUGGACAAUGGGCGCAAGCCUGAUUCAGCCAUGCCGCGUGCAGGAUGAAGGCCUUCGGGUUGUAAACUGCUUUUGUACGGAACGAAAAGACUCUGGUUAAUACUUGGGGUCCAUGACGGUACCGUAAGAAUAAGCACCGGCUAACUACGUGCCAGCCGCCGCCGUAAUAC